GUGAGGAAUAUUGGUCAAUGGGCGAGAGCCUGAACCAGCCAAGUCGCGUGAGGGAAGACGGUACUAAGUAUUGUAAACCUCUUUUGUCAGGGAACAAAGAGACCACGUGUGGUAAGAUGAGUGUACCUGAAGAAAAAGCAUCGGCUAACUCCGUGCCAGCAGCCGCGGUAAUACGGAGGAUGCGAGCGUUAUCCGGAUUUAUUGGGUUUAAAGGGUGCGUAGGCGGCGUAUCAAGUCAGCGGUUAAAUGUCGGGGCUCAACCUCGGCCUGCCGUUGAAACUGAUGAGCUAGAGAGGAUGAGAAGUAUGCGGAAUGCGUGGUGUAGCGGUGAAAUGCAUAGAUAUCACGCAGAACUCCGAUUGCGAAGGCAGCAUGCCGGCAUCUAUCUGACGCUGAGGCACGAAAGCGUGGGGAUCGAACAGGAUUAGAAACCCUUGUAGUCC
rnacentral:rRNA from 1 species